rnacentral:rRNA from 1 species
GAUGAACGCUGGCGGCGUGCCUAAUACAUGCAAGUCGAGCGAACAGACGAGGAGCUUGCUCCUCUAACGUUAUCGUCGGACGGGUGAGUAACACGUGGAUAACCUACCUAUAAGACUGGGAUAACUUCGGGAAACCGGAGCUAAUACCGGAUAAUAUAUUGAACCGCAUGGUUCAAUAGUGAAAGACGGUUUUGCUGUCACUUAUAGAUGGAUCCGCGCCGCAUUAGCUAGUUGGUAAGGUAACAGCUUACCAAGGCAACGAUGCGUAGCCGACCUGAGAGGGUGAUCGGCCACACUGGAACUGAGACACGGUCCAGACUCCUACGGGAGGCAGCAGUAGGGAAUCUUCCGCAAUGGGCGAAAGCCUGACGGAGCAACGCCGCGUGAGUGAUGAAGGUCUUCGGAUCGUAAAACUCUGUUAUUAGGGAAGAACAAAUGUGUAAGUAACUAUGCACGUCUUGACGGUACCUAAUCAGAAAGCCACGGCUAACUACGUG